rnacentral:sRNA from 1 species
UAUUAAACCUGAUUGAUGUGGAUACCGGCCUGUGUAUAAGGCCUGCAGGCGUAUGAACAAAAGCAGGGCAGACU